CCUCGGCAUAUCUCAUGAUCAACCAUUUGGUGAGUACCAUCGAUAGGAGCAAAGAGAAGGAGAUAAAAAACAAACUGAUGGGCAGAACAAAUGAUAAUGUAAUCAAAAGUGCAUGUUCAUUGCGAACCUAAGCUUAUCUUCCUAAUUCUGCGAUUAAAUUAAUUUUGAAUUCGUCUUAGAAGACUAUUAGUAUAAGUGCUAGCUGUUAGAAUCCUCGUGAAGCAGUUGAUAUCGGUUUACCUCUAUCAUUGGACCUGAUAGUCCAAUUAUCAAUUAUCUAUCCUGCUCGAUCCCGUACUUGUGUACAUUAGCCCAAUAUUCAAUAGAACGGUCCUAUUAGAACAUGAAUGCAACAUAACCCAUCCAGUGCACCCCAUCGGUAAGAACAUCCUAGCUGAUCUUUAGCUUUAGUUAAUUACUAAGCAAUUACACUACUUAUUAGAUCCCUAAUUGAAUGGUUAAUACGCACGCGACUAAAACAUCAUCCAACGAUUAAGCGAAGGGACUAAACGUAAGUAGUUAAAAUUGUAGUAGUUUUGUAUCCCAAACUCACAUCCAUAUCACGAUCAGGGGUUCGCAAAACAAUGCGUACGGAGCCAAUUAAGAUUUUAUCGAACUGGUGAUAUCGAUUGAGUCCAUUAAUACGAGAAACUAUUAGGUAUGAAGUUAAUAAGAGCUCAAAUGUUGUCCAACAGGAAAUUAUAUUCUCCCAAUAUCGAACUACUGGCGUUUCAUUUGCCUGCAACCGGAGAAUCAUAUUUCGGAAAUCGUUCCCGUUGAAACCGUGUUUCAACACACA